rnacentral:rRNA from 1 species
UGCCAGACUCCUACGGGAGGCAGCAGUGGGGGAUAUUGCACAAUGGGGGGAACCCUGAUGCAGCGACGCCGCGUGGGUGAAGAAGCGCCUCGGCGCGUAAAGCCCUGUCAGCAGGGAAGAAAAUGACGGUACCUGAAGAAGAAGCCCCGGCUAACUACGUGCCAGCAGCCGCGGUAAUACGUAGGGGGCAAGCGUUAUCCGGAUUUACUGGGUGUAAAGGGGGCGCAGACGGCGAUGCAAGCCAGGAGUGAAAGCCCGGGGCUCAACCCCCGGACUGCUCUGGAAACUGUACGGCUGGAGUGCAGGAGAGGUAAGUGGAAUUCCUAGUGUAGCGGUGAAAUGCGUAGAUAUUAGGAGGAACACCAGUGGCGAAGGCGGCUUACUGGACUGUAACUGACGUUGAGGCUCGAAGGCGUGGGGAGCAAACAGGAUUAGAUACCCCCGUA